ACAUCCAGAGAACUUAGCAGAGAUGCUUUUGGUGCCCUUCGGGAACUCUGAGACAGGUGCUGCAUGGCUGUCGUCAGCUCGUGUUGUGAAAUGUUGGGUUAAGUCCCGNAACGAGCGCAACCCUUUAUCCUUUGUUGCCAGCGGUUCGGCCGGGAACUCAAAGGAGACUGCCGGUGAUAAACCGGAGGGAGGUGGGGAUGACGUCAAGUCAUCAUGGCCCUUACGGCCAGGGCUACACACGUGCUACAAUGGCGCAUACAAAGAGAAGCGACCUCGCGAGAGCAAGCGGACCUCAUAAAGUGCGUCGUAGUCCGGAUUGGAGUCUGCAACUCGACUCCAUGAAGUCGGAAUCGCUAGUAAUCGUAGAUCAGAAUGCUACGGUGAAUACGUUCCCGGGCCUUGUACACACCGCCCGUCACACCAUGGGAGUGGGUUGCAAAAGAAGUAGGUAGCUUAACCUUCGGGAGGGCGCUUACCACUUUGUGAUUCAUGACUGGGGUGAAGUCGUAACAAGGUAAGCGUAGCGAG
rnacentral:rRNA from 1 species